rnacentral:antisense_RNA from 1 species
GGGGCUCAAAACAGUCAAAUUCAAAUUAAAAGGUCGAGACACGAAUCAGGGAAUAUUCCGGGAAAGAAAGAGGGAACCUGCGGAGCCUCGGUCAGUUUGGAGGAGUCACGUAUCACACGGGAAACCAGCACACAGGACACAACAAAACCCGACCGAGAGAAGCGUCCUUUACAGAGCGCACGGGCUGGGAGCAUGUUUGAAAGAAGACAGACCAGUCUAUUUUUGUGGUUGUUUUUAAAUAAAAGGAAGAAAUAAGGGGAACCGUAUGUUUCAAACAGUUAUUUCCGUUUCUCCAUCGCCUUCUUCCAAAGCGAACUAAACUCUCCACCCCUUCCUCAGGAAACGGAAUCUGGAGAACAACUUGUCUUUCCCGUCGCCCCACAUUUUUCCUUGGACAGAGCCUAGGGUUCAGACUUUCCGAAGGGCUGGAGUUUGGCGGGGAAAGGACUGGAGCCCAGCGCCCUGGCGUGGAGGAGUGAGGAGGCUAGACCGCUUCUAAGGAGGCCCAAGCCCGCUGCGGCUAGAAGCCCGCA